UACGAAGGGGGCUAGCGUUGCUCGGAAUCACUGGGCGUAAAGGGCGCGUAGGCGGCAUGCCAAGCGUGUGGUGAAAGCCCGGGGCUCAACCCCGGGUCGGCCGUGCGGACUGGCGUGCUCGAGCACUGUAGGGGCGGGUGGAAUUCCGGGUGUAGCGGUGGAAUGCGUAGAGAUCCGGAAGAACACCGGUGGCGAAGGCGGCCUUCUGGACGGUGACUGACGCUGAGGCGCGAAAGCGUGGGGAGCAAACGGG
rnacentral:rRNA from 1 species